rnacentral:rRNA from 1 species
AGCGAACGCUGGCGGCAGGCCUAACACAUGCAAGUCGAACGAACUUUUCGGAGUUAGUGGCGGACGGGUGAGUAACACGUGGGAACGUGCCUUUUGGUUCGGAAUAACUCAGGGAAACUUGUGCUAAUACCGAAUGUGCCCUUCGGGGGAAAGAUUUAUCGCCAUUAGAGCGGCCCGCGUCUGAUUAGCUAGUUGGUGAGGUAACGGCUCACCAAGGCGACGAUCAGUAGCUGGUCUGAGAGGAUGACCAGCCACAUUGGGACUGAGACACGGCCCAGACUCCUACGGGAGGCAGCAGUGGGGAAUCUUGCGCAAUGGGCGAAAGCCUGACGCAGCCAUGCCGCGUGAAUGAUGAAGGUCUUAGGAUUGUAAAAUUCUUUCACCGGGGACGAUAAUGACGGUACCCGGAGAAGAAGCCCCGGCUAACUUCGUG